rnacentral:rRNA from 1 species
CAGCGCCACGAGUGGGGACCACGUUUAUUGGGCCUAAAGCGUCCGUAGCCGGUCUGUUAAAUCUUUUGUGAAAUCGUAGAGCUUAACCUUACGGCUGGCAAGAGACACUGGCAGACUUGGAACCGGGAUGGGCAAGAGGUAUUCCAGGGGUAGCGGUAAAAUGUUAUAAUCCCUGGAGGACCACCUGUGGCGAAGGCGUCUUGCUAGAACGGAUUCGACGGUGAGGGACGAAAGCCAGGGGAGCGAUCCGGAUUAGAUACCCGAGUAGUCC